UGAGAGAGGUCAGCGUGAGCCCCUUGCCUCACACCGGCCCCUCCCACGCUGAGAGAGGUCAGCGUGAGCCCCUUGUCUCACACCGGCCCCUCCCACGCUGAGAGAGGUCAGCCCGAGCCCCUUGCCUCACACCGGCCCCUCCCACGCUGAGAGAGGUGUGAGCCCCUUGUCUCACACCGGCCCCUCCCACGCGGACAGAGGUCAGCGUGAGCCCCUUGCCUCACCCCGGCCCCUCCCACGCUGAGAGAGGUCAGCGUGAGCCCCUUGCCUCACCCCGGCCCCUCCCACGCUGAGAGAGGUCAGUGUGAGCCCUUGCCUCACACCGGCCCCUCCCACGCGGACAGAGGUC
rnacentral:lncRNA from 1 species